GAAAUAAUUUAUGUAAAGCACAUUUUGACUGGAAUUUUCAGUGGGUGAAUGGUGGUAAUGUUAUAUAAAUCCAGAAAGGUAAGUAAAGUCAGUUUGUGGAAGGUCUUAAAUGCCAGGAUAAGUGCUUGUAUUUUAUCCUAGAGGCAAUAACAACUCUUUAAUGGGUUUUGUGCAUAAGAGUGACAGACUAGUGCCUUAAAAAGAUUUCCUUGGUUGUGUGAAUGAUAAAUUGGAGAAAGAAAAAUUUGGACACAGGAAGACCCGCUAAGAAUCAGACAUUAAUUGAGCAAAAAGAAUAAAGAUACAAACUUAAUACAAAAAAAAUUGAGGGAAGAUAUUAGCAGUUGAGGGUAUCAGAAGUUUCAUAUAGGGGGCAGCUGGGUGGCUCAGUGGAUUGAAAGCCAGGACUAGAGAUGGGAGGUCCUAGGUUCAAAUCUGGCCUCAGUCACUUCCCAGCUGUGUGACUCUGGGCAAGUCACUUGGCCCCCAUUGCCUAGCCCUUACCACUCUUCUGCCUUGGAACCAAUACACAGUAUUGAUUCCAAGAUGGAAGGUAAGGUUUAAAAAAAAGAAAGAAAGAGAAGUUUCAUAUUGAAGGCGGUGCUUAGACCAUCUUGAAGGAAGAGAGGAUCUCUAAAGGACCAAAGUGAGGAGGGGGUGCAUUCCAGGCAUUGGAGAUAGCUAAUGCAAAGGCAUGGAAACAGAAGUAUUAUGGAUGAAAAGCCAAGAAGGUAAAUUUAUGUGGAUCAUAGAGUGUGGGGAGAUUAGCUAGAAAUAUAGCUUAGGGUCAAUUUAUGAAGGGCUUUAAAAGCUAAAGGGUCAGGAGUUUGUAUUUUAUCCUGGAGGCACAGGGAACCAUUUAAACUUCUUGAUCAGGGGAGUUACAUGUUCAGACCCAUGCUCUAGGAGUGUCUGUUUGGCAGCUUUCUGGUGGACAGAUUGGGGAGAAGAGACACUAAAAGUAGGAAGCCCAAUGAGGAGUCCCAAGUUAGAGGUGAUGACAAUCUGAAUUAGGAUCAUGACC
rnacentral:lncRNA from 1 species